UAUUGAUAAUAAUAUUAUAAUGUAAUACAAUAUAACACUAAUAAUAAUACCAUAUAAUAAUAUUAAUUAUAUAUUCUAUAUUACAUAUAAUAUUACUAAUAACAUUACAGUAUAGUGGUAUAGUUCAACAUAGUAAUAUAUAAUGCUAAUAUUGUGCAACGCUAAUAAUAUAAUAUAUUGUAUGUACAUAUAAUUUGUAAGCCACUCUGAGUCCCCUUUGGGGUGAGAAGGGUGGGAUACAAAUGUAGUAAAUAAAUGCAGUAAAUAAUAAAUAAAUAAAUUUUAGACUUAGGCUCACCCAAAGUCUGAAAUGACUUGAAGGCACACAAACAACAACAACAACAACAACAACCCUAAUUAACUUGACUAUCUCAUUGGCCAGAAGCAGGACCACACUUCUCAUUGAAAUCCUGAUAAAUGUAUGUUGGUUAAAAUUGUUUUUAUUUUUAACCAACAUACAUUUAUCAGGAUUUCAAUGAGAAGUGUGGUCCUGCUUCUGGCCAAUGAGAUAGUCAAGUUAAUUAGGGUUGUUGUUGUUGUUGUUGUUGUGUGCCUUCAAGUCAUUUCAGACUUUGGGCGAGCCUAAGUCUAAAAUUUAUUUAUUUAUUAUUUAUUUAUUUACUGCAUUUAUUUACUACAUUUGUAUCAUGCCCUUCUCACCCCAAAGGGGACUCAGAGUGGCUUACAAAUUAUAUGUACAUACAAUAUAUUAUAUUAUUAGCAUAGCACAAUAUUAGCAUUAUAUCUAUAUAUAUAAAAGAGUGAUGGCAUCAGGGCAGCGGACAAAACAACAAAACUACAGGCCCCUCAACCUCGAAAUUUGACAACACAACCCAUCAUCCAUGGCUCUAGGUUGAUACAACAAAAAGAAAAGAAAAAUAAAGUCCUAAUUAGAGAGAGAGAGGAAUAAUUGUUUUUAUUCAAUUGCUGCCAGUUACAAGGCUAAGUUCCGCCCACUUGGUCUCCUAGCAACCUCAAUACCACCACUACCUCAACAAUUUCUCACCAACACCACUAGACAAUGCCACAGCAACGCGUGGCUGGGCACAACUAGUAUUACUAUAUUGAACUAUACCACUAUACUGUAAUACUAUUAGUAAUAUUAUAUGUAAUAAAGAAUAUAUAAUUAAUAUUAUGAUAUGGUAUUAUUAUUAGUGUUAUAUUGUAUUACAUUAUAAUACUAUUAUCAAUAUUAUAUGUAUAUACAAUAUAUUAUAUUAUAAAACUGAGGGCGGGGGCCAGGUAAAUGACCUCGGAGGGCCGCAUCCGGCCCCCGGGCCUUAGUUUGGGGACCCCUGUUCUAGAGCAAUGAUGGGCAACCUUUUGCACUUGGUGUGUCAAAAUUCACCAAAAAAUCUAGCAUUCCUUGGGUGGUGUGUCACUUUGAGAGAAAAACCACAAUUUCACAAUUUAUAUAGUUUAAAUAACAAAAAUAUAUAAUUGUAAUAUAUAACUAUAUUUAAUAAAUCAAAAACUAUUUACUACCAUUAUUUCCAUGUACAACAAUCUAUGGUACCUCUUGCAAUUUCCACGCUGAUUUCUCUCUAUUGUAGUUUCAAUGUAGUCAUGAAUAAUGAAUAAUAUAAUAAUAAUAUAAUAGUAAUAAUAUAAUAAUAUACUAC
ensembl:lncRNA